GUGAACGACAUGAGAACGACCGAACCUGAGACCCGAUAGAAGGAGCCAGACACGGCGGCUGUAAGGUUAGGAAAGGUCCUAAGGUAGCAAAAUUCCUUGACAGGUAAGUUCUGUCCAGCAUGAGCGGUGUAAGGACUUCCUCACUGUCACUACCCUCGUCUCUCAGAAAUUGAGUCAUCCUUGAUUACGAGGAAGCCAACGGCCUGACGAUAAGACCCUGAGCACC
rnacentral:rRNA from 1 species